rnacentral:rRNA from 1 species
AUUGAACGCUGGCGGCAUGCUUUACACAUGCAAGUCGAACGGUAACAGGCCGCAAGGUGCUGACGAGUGGCGAACGGGUGAGUAAUGCAUCGGAACGUGCCCAGUCGUGGGGGAUAACUACUCGCAAGAGUAGCUAAUACCGCAUACGAUCUAUGGAUGAAAGCGGGGGACCGUAAGGCCUCGCGCGAUUGGAGCGGCCGAUGUCAGAUUAGGUAGUUGGUGGGGUAAAGGCUCACCAAGCCAACGAUCUGUAGCUGGUCUGAGAGGACAACCAGCCACACUGGGACUGAGACACGGCCCAGACUCCUACGGGAGGCAGCAGUGGGGAAUUUUGGACAAUGGGCGCAAGCCUGAUCCAGCAAUGCCGCGUGCAGGAAGAAGGCCAUCGGGUUGUAAACUGCUUUUGUACGGAACGAAACGGCUCUGGUUAAUACCCGGGGCUAAUGACGGUACCGUAAGAAUAAGCACCGGCUAACUACGUG